CAAACUGCUGAUAAGCCACACCUCUUUGUGUUUCUCCAUGGUGGCAUAGAGUUUCUGGGAUAGGUCAUUGGCUACAUUCGGCAUCCCAGGCUUCUUCUUAUUGGCUCGACUCACGCUGCUCUUAUUCUUAUUGGUUUUCUUAUUGUUCUUCUUCUUGGCAUUUUUGCUGUCCCCUGGCGUAAAUCGCCCUCGAAGUAAGGCAGCUCGUUCGCGCUCGUCAAACGGUCCUCUGUCGCUUGUUUGAAGAUGUCCUGUAAAACGUGCCCGUAAGGUUUAAGGUUUUCGGCCUUGUCUAUAAAAAAUAAAAAACCUUUUGCCCGCUACACCCCAAAGAAGUAGGAGGAGAAACAUUGGAAUGUACCUUGUAGUCGUGGAGUAUCCUCUCUGCAAAGGCCUUGUCCAACAUCUUACGGUACCAUUCCUGCAGGCGCUUAGGUUUGGGGAUCUUCUGAUCGGCGGGGUGACAGUGGAAGAUGUAGUCGUCACCUUCGCUCGGAGGGCACGCCCAAAUAUGUCCCGUCACGUAACUGGGAAGGGAAGAUAAACAGCCAGCUUUUUUUAAUAUACAUCAUCAUUCGAACAUAUCGGUGCUUGUUAAGAAAUAACUAAAAUAAAACGGACGUACCCCAAUUUCUUGACGUAUUCCAGAUAACCGAUUAGGAUCUCAUGAUAAACUGCCGUCCGAAGCAGACGAGGUCUGAAGAAGUGAAUACUGUCAAGGUAUGAUAUGUAUACACGUCUGCGAAAAGAGGAGAAAAAAAAAAACCCAAAGACACACGGCGAUGUUAGUUAGAUCGUGGCUCUCCUGCGAAGCGCUGUACGCCCGGCGCUCAGGUAAGGUUUUACCUGGUGUUGGGAAAAGGGCAUUCCGAGCCGUAUUCCUGCACGUGCAUGCCAAAGAAACACACGUCCACGCCGUCGAUCUCCUCGAAGGCGAAAAGUGCUUUGGUUCUGUACGGGAAGCUCUCGCACAUCUCGUUGUUGUCUACAAACCUGGCAGGAGAGCGGAGCGGGUUAGUUUCCGAAGUUACCGCUUUGACCAUUUGAAGCGGCGCUGCACGCAACACACACUCAAGUAACAAAUUUAUUCAUUCAUUCAUUUUUGAAAAGCAGCCGAAAUCCGAAUGUAGGUUCCCUAACGAGGCGACGGCGGUGAGGAACGACGCUUACUUGGCCUUCAUGCCGGGUUUGACUUCCACUGUUUUGUCGGAACUCGCCACCACUCGCACGAACACCUCGCCGGCUUCUGGGUGGUUCUGCCUCUUCAAGUACUUGUUCACUCUGUCCUCGAUAUAUGUGCCUAACCGUGUCACCUGCAAUCCUGACACACACACACACAGAAGUUCAUGGUGGGGAACCCGAGCAAUGUGUUCGGAGGAAGAAGACGACACUUACUUUUUGCUGAGAACUUAUUUUCCUUCCUCGUCUUCCCGCUCUUCUUCAAACAGUUAUCACAGAUAAAGCUGCAGAGACAAAAACAGUUACCACACCUGACUCUAUGAAUAGUUGUAACAAAAAUUUUAAAAUCACACACACACCACUCACCCAGACGGCCAGAUGACUUCAUAAUGUAGGACGCAUAUCUGAUGCAUCUUGCGUCCGCAGUCUUUACAUUCGACGAACCUGAGUGCAGAAGAAUCGAUUCGUUGUUAAGAGAUCGGGAUUCGAAGUGUAUGACCUCUGACCUGCUGACUGCAGAUACGCAACACGGCGAGGCGAGGCAGAAGUCGUUCUCUAUACCUCCGGUUCUACUAAAAUAUUCCCUAAAACGCUUCAAGAGACACCAGAGUGGGAGUGUCACCCCGAGUCUUACAGCAGGGGGCGCCAUCCAACAGAAUGCGUCCUGCUGGACAAGAGUGGACUAUACUAUCGUGCACACACGUACGCUAACGUUUUUAUACUGCAGGAAUAAAGCGAAGUCGGUCACAUGAAGCAAUUAAGACUUUUGGUUUGGACCGGACUUACAUGCGCUGUUUGUGUGACUGUAUACUUACGGCUCGGGGUCUAGUGUAUCAUUCUUCUUUCUCUCAAACUGAUCCUUGGAAAUCAUCCUACACACAUACACACAGAGAGAGAGAGAGAGAGAGAGAGUGAGAGAGAGAGAACAGAUAAAAGAAAGAGUGACAAAGAGGGAGUGAGAGCAAACGCAUGAGAAAGAUAGAAAAGAGAGUGAACAGAGAGGGAAACAGUAGAGAGAGAGAAAAUAGAAAGAUAGAAUGAGAGAAAGAGACAGAGAGGGAGAAAAAAAGAGCACAAGAGACGAGAGAGAGGGAAAACAGAGAGAGAGAGAGAGAGAGAGAGAGGGUGAGAGUCAGAAAAGAGGGAGAGAGCGCAAGAGAGAAGAGAGGGGAAGAUAUGGAGCAAAAGAGAGAAUGAGAGUUGGUUGAAAGAACAGGGAGGGGAAAAGACAGAAAGACAGUAG
ensembl:lncRNA